UCGAGAAUAUUUGGCAAUGGGCGAAAGCCUGACCAUGCGACGCCGCGUGCUGGAUGAAGUCCUUCGGGACGUAAACAGCUUUUACGCGUGAAGAAGUAAUUGACAUCAGCGCGAGAAUAAGGGGCUCCUAACUCUGUGCCAGCAGGAGCGGUAAUACAGAGGCCCCGAGCAUUAUCCGGAAUCACUGGGCGUAAAGGGUGUGUAGGCGGUCGUGUUAGUCCUUCGUGAAAGACCUCUGGCUUAACCAGGGGGACGCGGUGGAAACGGCACGGCUCGAGGGCGCGAGAGGUACAGGGAACUCAUGGUGUAGGGGUGAAAUCCGUUGAUAUCAUGGGGAACACCAAAUGCGAAGGCACUGUACUGGCGCGUUUCUGACGCUGAAACACGAAAGCGUGGGAAUCGAACGGGAUUAGAUACCCGCGUAGUCC
rnacentral:rRNA from 1 species